UGGCAAUAGGAUCUGGGAUGGAGCAGGGCCAGCCUUCAACCCUACUCCUUCCUCCUUGGGUGCUGGGAAGUACCUUGAUCUGCUUCAGCUCUGAGCUUUCUCCUGAGCUUUCCCUGCUGCGCUUUCCUUGCAAAAAGGGCUGAGCUGGCAGUGGCUCUGCCCAUCCUCUUCUGAGGCCCCUAAUUUGAGGAGUUGAACCAAGUGCCGCAUCUGAA
rnacentral:lncRNA from 1 species